AUGACGUCCGAGCGCCCGCUCAUCGACGUCGCCUCCCCGCACCCGCCGGCGGCGGCGUCGCAACUCCCGCCGUCGCAGCCGGAGCCUCCCGUUCGCGCUGACCACCUGGGCUUCUCCGUUGAGGUCCCGGGCCCCUUCCGCCCCUCCCGCCGCGACCAGCCCGACCCGUCCGCGUCGGAGCGGGAGCUCCACGAGGGGGGUGAGUACCGCGCCGUCGCUGUGGGGGAGCCCUCGCCGGAGUUUGCCGGCAACGCUGUCCGGACGGCCAAGUACUCCGCGCUCACCUUCCUGCCGCGCAACCUGUUCGAGCAGUUCCGACGGCUGUCGUACGUCUACUUCCUCGCCAUCACCGUGCUCAACCAGCUCCCCCAGGUCGCCGUCUUUGGUCGUGGCGCGUCUGUUCUCCCGCUGGCCUUCGUGCUCUUCGUCACCGCUGUCAAGGACGCCUACGAGGACAUCCGCCGCCACCGCUCCGACCGCAGGGAGAACAACCGCCUCGCCGCCGUCCUCGCGCCUCAAACCGCCGGCGAGUACCUCCCCAAGAAAUGGAAGCACAUACGCGUCGGGGACGUCGUACGCGUCGCGUCCAACGAGACGCUCCCCGCCGACAUGGUACUGCUCGCCACUAGUGACCCCACUGGCCUCGCGCACGUCCAGACCGUCAAUCUUGACGGGGAGACCAACCUCAAGACGAGGUAUGCCAAGCAGGAGACGCAGUUGAGUUUCUCUCACGACGGCCACGUAGCUGGUAUGCUGCACUGCGAGCGGCCCAACAGGAACAUUUAUGGGUUCCAGGCGAAUUUGGAGAUCGACGGCAAGCGUGUCUCACUCGGACCGUCCAACAUUGUGCUCCGUGGUUGUGAGCUCAAGAAUACCACCUGGGCAAUAGGGGUUGUGGUUUAUGCUGGAAAGGAGACUAAGGUCAUGCUCAAUAACUCUGGGCCGCCAUCCAAGCGUAGCCGCUUGGAGACUCAGUUGAAUCGGGAGACAGUCAUAUUGUCCAUUAUGCUCAUUGGGAUGUGCAUAACUGCAUCAGUGCUCGCAGGGAUUUGGCUGCUGAAUCACCAGCGGGAGCUUGAGUUCACCCAAUUCUUUAGAGAAAAGGAUUACACAACCGGGAAGAACUACAAUUACUAUGGAAUCGGAAUGCAGAUAUUCGUUACAUUCCUCAUGGCCGUCAUAGUGUAUCAGGUCAUCAUUCCUAUCUCAUUGUAUAUAUCAAUGGAGUUGGUACGACUUGGGCAAGCAUAUUUCAUGGGCGCCGACAAUGACUUGUAUGACGAAUCGUCAAGGUCCAGGUUCCAGUGCAGGGCUCUGAAUAUAAAUGAGGAUUUGGGGCAGAUUAAGUAUGUUUUCUCUGAUAAGACAGGGACGCUGACAGAGAACAAGAUGGAGUUCAUGUGUGCAUCCAUUCACGGAGUUGAUUACAGUUCUGGCAAACCUGCAUGCGGGUCCUCAGUUGUAGUUGAUGAUCUUCUGUGGACACCAAAAAUGGCAGUUAGGACUGACCCUCAGCUUUUGAAGUUAUUGAACAAUGACAGCUCAAAUGAGGAAGCAAAGCUUGUCCUUGAAUUCUUCCUUGCUCUUGCUGCCUGCAAUACAAUUGUGCCACUUGUCCUGGACACUAGAGAUCCUAAACAAAAGUUGAUUGACUAUCAGGGUGAGUCCCCUGAUGAGCAGGCACUAGCUUAUGCUGCAGCAUCUUAUGGCAUUGUGCUUGUUGAGCGAACAUCUGGUUACGUAGUGAUCGAUGUCCUUGGUGACAGACAGAGAUUUGAUAUAUUAGGACUUCAUGAGUUUGAUAGUGAUCGUAAGAGGAUGUCUGUCAUUGUCGGCUGCCCUGAUAAGACUGUUAAGUUAUAUGUCAAAGGCGCAGACAGUUCAAUGUUUGGAAUUAUCAACAAAUCAUUAGAGCUGGACAAUGUUCGUGCUACAGAGGCACAUCUCCACAAAUAUUCAUCACUUGGCCUAAGAACUCUUGUUGUUGGUAUGCGUGAAUUGAGUCAACCUGAAUUUGAGGAGUGGCAGUUGGCAUAUGAGAAGGCUAGCACAGCAGUACUUGGCAGGGGAAAUUUACUCCGAUCAAUUGCAGCCAAUGUAGAGUGCAAUAUCCACAUAUUGGGGGCCUCUGGGAUUGAAGAUAAGCUUCAAGAUGGGGUACCAGAAGCAAUAGAAUCUCUUCGGCAAGCAGGCAUGAAAGUUUGGAUUUUAACAGGGGAUAAGCAGGAGACAGCAAUUUCUAUUGGCUACUCUUGUAAGCUGCUGACAAAUGACAUGACACAAAUUGUGAUAAAUAACAAUUCUAAGGAGUCUUGCAAGAGAAGUCUCGAGGAAGCACUUGCAAGAACUAAGGAGCACAGAGUUGCUUCGUCAAUUGGCUCACCGUAUCCAGUGUUAGCAUCAGAAUCUUCUGGUACAGUUCUUGCUUUGAUUGUGGACGGUAACAGCCUUGUUUACAUACUUGAGACAGAGUUGCAAGAAGAGCUUUUCAAAGUAGCAACAGAAUGUAGUGUUGUCUUAUGUUGUCGAGUGGCUCCUCUACAAAAGGCAGGCAUAGUUGCGCUUAUCAAAAACAGGACAGAUGAUAUGACCUUAGCAAUUGGUGAUGGAGCAAAUGAUGUUUCAAUGAUUCAAAUGGCUGAUGUUGGGGUUGGUAUCAAUGGCCAAGAAGGAGGACAAGCUGUUAUGGCAUCAGAUUUUUCUAUGGGACAAUUCAGAUUCUUGGUUCCUCUUCUAUUAGUUCAUGGUCACUGGAAUUAUCAAAGGAUGGGUUACAUGAUCCUUUACAACUUCUACAAGAAUGCCACAUUUGUCUUGGUUCUUUUCUGGUAUGUGCUUUAUACAUCAUUCACUUUGACGACUGCUAUCACCGAAUGGAGUAGUCUCCUGUAUACUGUGCUUUAUACAUCCCUUCCAACAAUUGUUGUUGGUAUUCUUGACAAGGAUCUUAGCAAGUCAACACUGCUAGCUUACCCAAAGCUUUAUGGAUCUGGCCAACGGAAUGAGAAGUAUAAUUUGAAUUUGUUUGUCCUCAAUAUGCUUGAAGCACUUUGGCAGAGUUUGGUUGUGUUCUACAUACCGUAUUUUGCAUAUCGACAAAGUACUAUAGGCAUGUCUAGUCUUGGAGAUUUGUGGGCACUUGCAUCAGUCAUUGUUGUAAAUAUGCAAUUGGCCAUGGACAUCAUUCGGUGGAAUUGGAUUAUACAUGCGUUCGUAUGGGGGACGAUAGCAGCAACAGUGAUUUGUCUCUUUGUGAUAGAUUCGAUAUGGGUUCUUCCUGGUUAUGGGGCCAUCUAUCACAUAAUGGGGCAAGGCUUGUUUUGGUUACUGCUGCUUAUCAUUGUUGUCACAGCAAUGGUCCCACAUUUUGCAAUCAAGGCUUUCUCAGAGCAUUUUGUUCCCAGUGAUAUUCAAAUCGGCCGAGAAAUAGAGAAGUUUGAGGCUUUAAAUCAGGUGAACCAUUCGGAAAUUCCAAUGCGAACGUUUUCAUGA
rnacentral:rRNA from 1 species